rnacentral:rRNA from 1 species
AGUGAACGCUGGCGGUAGGCCUAACACAUGCAAGUCGAACGGCAGCACAGUAAGAGCUUGCUCUUACGGGUGGCGAGUGGCGGACGGGUGAGGAAUACAUCGGAAUCUACUUUUUCGUGGGGGAUAACGUAGGGAAACUUACUCUAAUACCGCAUACGACCUACGGGUGAAAGCAGGGGAUCUUCGGACCUUGCGCGAUUGAAUGAGCCGAUGUCGGAUUAGCUAGUUGGCGGGGUAAAGGCCCACCAAGGCGACGAUCCGUAGCUGGUCUGAGAGGAUGAUCAGCCACACUGGAACUGAGACACGGUCCAGACUCCUACGGGAGGCAGCAGUGGGGAAUAUUGGACAAUGGGCGCAAGCCUGAUCCAGCCAUACCGCGUGGGUGAAGAAGGCCUUCGGGUUGUAAAGCCCUUUUGUUGGGAAAGAAAAGCAGCAGGUUAAUACCCCGCUGUUCUGACGGUGCCCAAAGAAUAAGCACCGGCUAACUUCGUG